CUGAACUUUACCCAGUGGCUAAAUUCCUGAGCACAUCUGACUGGGGAGCUGCAACAACUUUCCCCGAUAGACAGACAGACAUCUUUGAUCAAGGGGAAAAGUUCUACAGCCAUCAGCCACUUCUUCAAGAAAGAGGAAACACUCACUGCAAAUGUUCUUUGCAUUCCAGGCACAUAUCUACAAUGACAUCUGUUUUAUUGAUCUGAAGGUCAUUAUCAAACUCAAUUAUCAUUCUGGGAGUCUUGCGCCACAUCCACUGAAUGUCUGAGUCAGAAAAGGAAGAGAAAGAAGAGGACUUGGGAUGACAUGUUCAAUGAAAUCCUGCAAGCCAAUGCUGCAUCAAACCAUAAGCACAGGGUCUGGAGGGUGAACACUGCAGACAGCCUGGAGAAGGAAAGAGUGGAAAGGAGAAAGACCAAGAAGUUCCAGCAGGAAAAGGAGAGGGAGAUGCACCAGGACAUAAUGGGGCUUCUCCAGCAGCAAAAAAAUGCUGCAGACUCUUGUGGACCUACAGGUUCAACAAUCCCAGGCUCGCCUGUCUUUGCAGUCUAUGGAGAACUCCACUGCAGCACCUCCCUACACCUCUUCACACCAUAUUCCAUGUGGUAUCAGGGACCACUGCACUCCCCCUACCACUUCACCCCAGGGGUCAUUAAGGACAACCACAGCUUCACACGCACUGACCUGUGAAAGCCAUGCCUGGUGUACGUGUAGCUAAAAUGGACACGAAUGUUCUUUCCCCUUAAUAAAUUAAAAGAAUGGAAUUUA